GGUUAAGCGACUAAGCGUACACGGUGGAUGCCCUGGCAGUCAGAGGCGAUGAAGGACGUGCUAAUCUGCGAAAAGCGUCGGUAAGGUGAUAUGAACCGUUAUAACCGGCGAUGUCCGAAUGGGGAAACCCAGUGCAAUUCGUUGCACUAUCGUUAACUGAAUACAUAGGUUAACGAGGCGAACCGGGGGAACUGAAACAUCUAAGUACCCCGAGGAAAAGAAAUCAACCGAGAUUCCCCCAGUAGCGGCGAGCGAACGGGGAGCAGCCCGGAGUCUGAAUCAGCUUGUGUGUUAGUGGAAGCGUCUGGAAAGUCGCAGGGUACAGGGUGAUACUCCCGUACACUAAAACACACAGGCUGUGAACUCGAAGAGUAGGGCGGGACACGUGGUAUCCUGUCUGAAUAUGGGGGGACCAUCCUCCAAGGCUAAAUACUCCUGACUGACCGAUAGUGAACCAGUACCGUGAGGGAAAGGCGAAAAGAACCCCGGCGAGGGGAGUGAAAAAGAACCUGAAACCGUGUACGUACAAGCAGUAGGAGCCCACUAGUUGGGUGACUGCGUACCUUUUGUAUAAUGGGUCAGCGACUUAUAUUCUGUAGCAAGGUUAACCGAAUAGGGGAGCCGCAGGGAAACCGAGUCUUAACUGGGCGUUAAGUUGCAGGGUAUAGACCCGAAACCCGGUGAUCUAGCCAUGGGCAGGUUGAAGGUUGGGUAACACUAACUGGAGGACCGAACCGACUAAUGUUGAAAAAUUAGCGGAUGACUUGUGGCUGGGGGUGAAAGGCCAAUCAAACCGGGAGAUAGCUGGUUCUCCCCGAAAGCUAUUUAGGUAGCGCCUCGUGAACUCAUCUUCGGGGGUAGAGCACUGUUUCGGCUAGGGGGUCAUCCCGACUUACCAACCCGAUGCAAACUACGAAUACCGAAGAAUGUUAUCACGGGAGACACACGGCGGGUGCUAACGUCCGUCGUGAAGAGGGAAACAACCCAGACCGCCAGCUAAGGUCCCAAAGUCAUGGUUAAGUGGGAAACGAUGUGGGAAGGCCCAGACAGCCAGGAUGUUGGCUUAGAAGCAGCCAUCAUUUAAAGAAAGCGUAAUAGCUCACUGGUCGAGUCGGCCUGCGCGGAAGAUGUAACGGGGCUAAACCAUGCACCGAAGCUGCGGCAGCGACACUAUGUGUUGUUGGGUAGGGGAGCGUUCUGUAAGCCGUUGAAGGUGGCCUGUGAGGGUUGCUGGAGGUAUCAGAAGUGCGAAUGCUGACAUAAGUAACGAUAAUGCGGGUGAAAAACCCGCACGCCGGAAGACCAAGGGUUCCUGUCCAACGUUAAUCGGGGCAGGGUGAGUCGACCCCUAAGGCGAGGCCGAAAGGCGUAGUCGAUGGGAAACAGGUUAAUAUUCCUGUACUUGGUGUUACUGCGAAGGGGGGACGGAGAAGGCUAUGUUGGCCGGGCGACGGUUGUCCCGGUUUAAGCAUGUAGGCGGAUGUUCCAGGUAAAUCCGGAACGUUACUAACGCUGAGGUGUGAUGACGAGGCACUACGGUGCUGAAGUGACAAAUGCCCUGCUUCCAGGAAAAGCCUCUAAGCAUCAGGUAACAUCAAAUCGUACCCCAAACCGACACAGGUGGUCAGGUAGAGAAUACCAAGGCGCUUGAGAGAACUCGGGUGAAGGAACUAGGCAAAAUGGUGCCGUAACUUCGGGAGAAGGCACGCUGAUGGUAAGUGAAGUGACUUGCUCAUGGAGCUGAAAUCAGUCGAAGAUACCAGCUGGCUGCAACUGUUUAUUAAAAACACAGCACUGUGCAAACACGAAAGUGGACGUAUACGGUGUGACGCCUGCCCGGUGCCGGAAGGUUAAUUGAUGGGGUUAUCCUCACGGAGAAGCUCUUGAUCGAAGCCCCGGUAAACGGCGGCCGUAACUAUAACGGUCCUAAGGUAGCGAAAUUCCUUGUCGGGUAAGUUCCGACCUGCACGAAUGGCGUAAUGAUGGCCAGGCUGUCUCCACCCGAGACUCAGUGAAAUUGAACUCGCUGUGAAGAUGCAGUGUACCCGCGGCAAGACGGAAAGACCCCGUGAACCUUUACUAUAGCUUGACACUGAACACUGGUCCUUGAUGUGUAGGAUAGGUGGGAGGCUUUGAAGUGUGGACGCCAGUCUGCAUGGAGCCAUCCUUGAAAUACCACCCUUUAAUGGCUGGUGUUCUAACGUGGGCCCGUGAUCCGGGUUGCGGACAGUGUCUGGUGGGUAGUUUGACUGGGGCGGUCUCCUCCUAAAGAGUAACGGAGGAGCACGAAGGUCAGCUAAUCCUGGUCGGACAUCAGGAGGUUAGUGCAAUGGCAUAAGCUGGCUUGACUGCGAGCGUGACGGCGCGAGCAGGUGCGAAAGCAGGUCAUAGUGAUCCGGUGGUUCUGAAUGGAAGGGCCAUCGCUCAACGGAUAAAAGGUACUCCGGGGAUAACAGGCUGAUACCGCCCAAGAGUUCAUAUCGACGGCGGUGUUUGGCACCUCGAUGUCGGCUCAUCACAUCCUGGGGCUGAAGUAGGUCCCAAGGGUAUGGCUGUUCGCCAUUUAAAGUGGUACGCGAGCUGGGUUUAGAACGUCGUGAGACAGUUCGGUCCCUAUCUGCCGUGGGCGCUGGAGAAUUGAGGGGGGCUGCUCCUAGUACGAGAGGACCGGAGUGGACGCAUCACUGGUGUUCGGGUUGUCAUGCCAAUGGCAUUGCCCGGUAGCUAAAUGCGGAAGAGAUAAGUGCUGAAAGCAUCUAAGCACGAAACUUGCCCCGAGAUGAGUUCUCCCUGACUCCUUGAGAGUCCUGAAGGAACGUUGAAGACGACGACGUUGAUAGGCCGGGUGUGUAAGCGCAGCGAUGCGUUGAGCUAACCGGUACUAAUGAACCGUGAGGCUUAACCUU
rnacentral:rRNA from 1 species